rnacentral:lncRNA from 1 species
UGUGUAAGGCCGCCAGGGGUGCUGUGUUCAGCGUCUUCUUGGUGGCCGAUCUCGGUUAAUGUUCUUUCUUCGCAAUUGUUCAACAAGGUAGAGCAGACGCUAUUAUAAGUUGUGUCAGAGUCUGAAUAAAAGCUAGAGAAUCAGCAACAAUUUACCUGAGUCAAGUGUCUUCAAAUCAGUAAUUACUUAUCAGAAUUCUGUACAACUCGAUUAAGUAACACUGCUAAUAGGUCAAGCCACGCUACAGUCGUGUCAAAGAAAGAGUGUUGAGCACCUUGCUUAGUCUAAAAGCUGAAUUCAGCCACUCCAGGGAUGUACCCGAGAAGAACUCCAAUUAGUCAUGAAGUAUCUCAGCGUAUCAAUGUAAUCUAAGUUACAAGAUAGUUCUAAGUUAGUGUGUUAAUCCUUCUGCAAACAGUAUCUCAACAGAAUCAGAAGACUUGGGGCAUAUCAUGCUCGCAUCAAAUUUGGUGAAUUUGGCCCAAGUCUCACCGAACCUGUAGAACCUGAAUACAGGCCAUUGCCCCACGGUGUAACAAUUGAUGCAAAACUAGGUGCCUACGAAGAAGGUUUCUAUAGCAUUGCCAUCAAGUAUCUUCCCCGUGACGAAGCUGUUGCCAUCACCAACAUCAGAGUGAAUGCUGA